UACGUAUGGUGCAAGCGUUAUCCGGAUUUACUGGGUGUAAAGGGAGCGUAGGCGGCGCGUUAAGUCUGAUGUGAAAACCCGAGGCUCAACCACGGGAGUGCAUUGGAAACUGGCGGGCUGGAGUGCCGGAGAGGUAAGCGGAAUUUCUAGUGUAGCGGUGAAAUGCGUAGAUAUUAGGAGGAACACCAGUGGCGAAGGCGGCUUACUGGACGGCAACUGACGCUGAGGCUCGAAAGCGUGGGGAGCAAACAGG
rnacentral:rRNA from 1 species